rnacentral:misc_RNA from 1 species
AACGCACAUUGCGCCCUCUGGUAUUCCGGAGGGCAUGCCUGUCCGAGCGUCAUUGCUGCCCUCAAGCACGGCUUGUGUGUUGGGCCCCGUCCCCCCCCUCCCGGGGGGACGGGCCCGAAAGGCAGCGGCGGCACCGCGUCCGGUCCUCGAGCGUAUGGGGCUUUGUCACCCGCUCUUGUAGGCCCGGCCGGCGCUUGCCGACCCCCUCAAUCUAUUUUUCAGGUUGACCUCGGAUCAGGUAGGGAUACCCGCUGAACUUAA